UACGAAGGGGGCUAGCGUUGCUCGGAAUCACUGGGCGUAAAGGGCGCGUAGGCGGCCUGAUCAGUCGGGGGUGAAAGCCUGUGGCUCAACCACAGAAUGGCCUUCGAUACUGUCGGGCUUGAGACCGGAAGAGGUAAGUGGAACUGCGAGUGUAGAGGUGAAAUUCGUAGAUAUUCGCAAGAACACCAGUGGCGAAGGCGGCUUACUGGUCCGGAUCUGACGCUGAGGAGCGAAAGCGUGGGGAGCGAACAGG
rnacentral:rRNA from 1 species